ensembl:ncRNA asRNA:CR46133 antisense RNA:CR46133
AGAAGAUCUGCCUAAGAUUUAACGCCUCCCUCUAAUUGCUAAUUAAGUAUAUGUACAUGUCAUCUUUGUUUGAGAUAUAUAGAUAUGUCAUUGGAACUAUCCAUCUGGCCCGCUUCUCUACUUUAUGCCUGUCUUGUUGACCGGAAACACCUGCGUGACAACUCCGAUUCCUUUGCUGGUGCCCUCGCGGAACAGGAUGCGCAUUCCAGGACGCACGUACUCCGGGUGGCCGACGAACUCGAACAUCACCGAAGCACAAUCGUUUGUGCCCAGUCGCUCGCCGCCCAUAAUGCCCCGAAUGACGGCCGUCUGGCGAAUGCUGCCUAUGUGGACUGUGGUUUGGAAGCCGACAUAGAUGGCCGUGGCGUGGAACAGCACGGACACCUUGGCCUGCAAAGGGAAGUUGAUGUAUUUAUUUGGUAACGAUAAAUGAAAACUAGCAACUCACUUGGAAGAAGAAGGUCCCGUAGGGCUCAUCCAGACUAUUUCCAAUAUCACCCAAAAGAACCAUGCCACUUCGUAGCGUGGGCACAUCCUGAUCCAUACUGAAAGACAGCGAAGCGCUCUGACCAGCUCGGACAACUCGGCAAGGAGCCUUGUUUCGGUGGAUAGUAUUAACAGUAACGGGAUGAAAGCUACCAUCGGGAAGCGGACCAAUCUUCAUUGCCAUAUUCUCGGUCAGCACGCCCUGGACAAGUAG